AUUUUAAUUGGGGCCUGUGUGCAGGGCUCACCCUAGCCUCUGAGAACGCAGGCUUUCUCUGAUGGGUCUCUGCUCCUGAGCAUGUGACGAGCUCUUGAAAAACCACAUGGAACAACCCAGAAAUAGCCAACAGACCAAAGGGAAAAUGAGUUGGAGCCAGUUCCACAAAGCACCGGGAUACCUCCUGAGACUAUGUGCUGGGAAGAAGGGGUCACACUUUUCUAUCCCUACAAGGACAAGAGGACCCUCUGGGUCUCCUCUGUGAAAGGACUCACCCAUGGUGGCCUAACAACCUCCUGUUUCGGUUUGAAUGAGUAGGGUCCUACCCACUCGCCCUUUGUCCAUGGUCACAGGCUUGGUCACCAGGAUGGUGCUGACUGGACAGUGGAGAACCUUUAGGAAAUGGAGCCGUCACAAGGGAUUAUGGGAAUUUAGACUCUCCACCACUCCCUCGUCUGGCUCACAUGAAGCUUCUCUGGGUGGGAGCUUCACCUCAUGACACACGUUACAAGUUCCACACUUACAGCUGAUUUCAUAUUACAUUUUACGGUGACUGCUUGCUGACGACCUAGAGAUGUUCUCCAUUCCUGCACGUCAGCUGCCUCCUGAUCACAGUGCAGAACGAGUCCUGGGCCCAUGCGCGCUGCCGGCCACCAGCUCAGCCAACAGGCUGCAACAGCCAUGACCUUGUCCUGAGUGUCAGGGUGACUUGAGGACCACUUCCCACAAUCAGUGGAGACACCUACAGUGGAAGCCUCAAGUCCUAUCUGCUUCCAAAAGGGGGAUGGAGAGCCAGAGUCCCCGGAGGAUUUGAAUAACAGCAGAGAAAAGCUGAGCUGGAUAGGGUGGCUCAGAGGCUGGAGGCAGAUGGCUCAGAGGUUAAGAGCACUGACUGCUUUUCCAGAGGUCCUGAGU